AACGCUAGCUACAGGCUUAACACAUGCAAGUCGAGGGGAAACGAUAUUGGAAGCUUGCUUCCGAUAGGCGUCGACCGGCGCACGGGUGAGUAACGCGUAUCCAACCUGCCCAUCACUUGGGAAUAACCUUGCGAAAGUAAGACUAAUGCCCAAUGACAUUUAUAGAAGGCAUCUGAAAUGAAUUAAAGAUUUAUCGGUGAUGGAUGGGGAUGCGUCUGAUUAGCUUGUUGGCGGGGUAACGGCCCACCAAGGCGACGAUCAGUAGGGGUUCUGAGAGGAAGGUCCCCCACAUUGGAACUGAGACACGGUCCAAACUCCUACGGGAGGCAGCAGUGAGGAAUAUUGGUCAAUGGGCGAGAGCCUGAACCAGCCAAGUAGCGUGCAGGAAGACGGCCCUAUGGGUUGUAAACUGCUUUUAUACAGGAAUAAAGUUAGCCACGUGUGGUUAUUUGUAGGUACUGUAUGAAUAAGGACCGGCUAAUUCCGUGCCAGCAGCCGCGGUAAUACGGAAGGUCCAGGCGUUAUCCGGAUUUAUUGGGUUUAAAGGGAGCGUAGGUUGACAUAUAAGUCAGCUGUGAAAGUUUACGGCUCAACCGUGAAAUUGCAGUUGAUACUGUAUGUCUUGAGUGUACAAGAGGUGGGCGGAAUUCGUGGUGUAGCGGUGAAAUGCUUAGAUAUCACGAAGAACUCCGAUUG
rnacentral:rRNA from 1 species